AUGCUAUGAAAUAACACACACACACACACACACACACACAGCCAGACACAGACACAAUAAUAUUAUUUUGGGAGUAAGUGAAGUCAAUAUUGUUAAAGUUAUAACUGUAUGAACGUGCAUAUUUUCAAUUUAGACUACACUACAUGAUCAGAAGAAAAGGUUUUUAUGUUAAUUUUUGCAGCAGACACAGAGAUGUAGGCUAGUAGGGGCGAGGCUUGGUUUGGUUCCUGGCUGACAGGGAUUCAAACAACAGCUCUCUGAUUCCCCAUAGCGAUUAAUCCGAGCACUGCAGUUGUCAGUAGCUACAGUACGUUUUCCCGGGUCCAUGUUGAAGUUUGUUAACCCAGACUUUCUCUCAUACUCGCUUCGUCAGGUCAUUCCAGGGCACGCGUUGCAUCGGUUUGACCCCGCUCGCAGGUAGAAGAAAACCGACUACACCCGCGCGAACUCAGUUGGAGAGGAAUGCACCAGUGGAGUGUUGGAAAAUAACAUUUCUGUUUGCCGACCUGCGUAUGAGGGCUCUGUCUGGUGGGGCUCGGCAGCUCCUCAACCCGGCCUGGAGACUCCUCGGCUCCCUCCCUCCCUACCUCCCUCUGGCUCCAAUGGUGUAAGCUGACGCAUCACCGUGGGGGAUUCUGACACUGCACACAGGUGAGAAUAGCUGCCAAAAGAGUCACACAUCUAUAUAUGGUUCUGAGUACCUUCUGUAUUGUCAACAGUGUCAUAUUGAGCUCAUAGAAACUGAAUGGGAAUACAGAGAGCUAGAGAGGUAUGAGUUAUCUAUGAGUUUUCCAUGUAGCAGGUAGCUUAGUGGUUAGAGCAGUGGGCCAGUAACUGAAAAGUUUCUAUAUCGAAUCUACGAGCUGACAAGGUAAAAAUCUGUUGUUCUAAUCCUGAGGAAGGCAGUUAACCCACUGUUCCUACACUGUUCCUAGGCCGUCAUUGUAAAUAAAAAAGCUCUAUCAAGCUCUAUCUCCCUCCAGGCCAGUAAGCUCCAGCUCUAUCUCCCUCCAGGCCAGUAAGCUCCAGCUCUAUUCCCUCCAGGCCAGUAAGCUCCAGCUCUAUCACCCUCCAGGCCAGUAAGCUCCAGCUCUAUCUCCCUCCAGGCCAAUAAGCUCCAGCUCUAUCACCCUCCAGGCCAGUAAGCUCUAGCUCUAUCUCCCUCCAGGCCANNNNNNNNNNAAGAGUGCGAAACUCAAUAGAGUAGUCUGUUAUG
rnacentral:lncRNA from 13 species